rnacentral:rRNA from 1 species
UACAGAGGGUGCGAGCGUUAAUCGGAAUUACUGGGCGUAAAGCGCACGUAGGUGGCUUGGCAAGUCGGGUGUGAAAUCCCCGGGCUCAACCUGGGAACUGCAUUCGAGACUGCCUUGCUAGAGUAUGGGAGAGGGAAGUGGAAUUUCCGGUGUAGCGGUGAAAUGCGUAGAUAUCUGAGGAACACCGGUGGCGAAGGCGGCAUCCUGGACCAAUAUUGACGCUGAGGAGCGAAAGCCAGGGGAGCAAACGGG